AAAAAACCAACAGAUGUGACCUUUUUAUGUUUUCAUGCGAACCUUCAACCUUCUAUUAACCAUUAUUAGAGCACUCCUUAUGCAUAUGCAAUCAAAUCCAAUAUCAGCUUGCAUAAACAAAUUCUAGAAAGACCAAAUAUCAGAUGUACUAGCAAGAAGAAAGAAGUUCUAUUUGACCAAGAACUCUUUACGAUUCUAUAUACCCAAAUGAAAAAAUAAAUCUGACUACCCAACUGAAGACAAGGAUUAUUAAAAGCUUUGAUACACAGACUUUUUUAUUAUAAAAUUUGAAGAAUUCACUUGUGGAAAUUACAAGAAACUAAAAAAUACAUCAAUCAAUUACGCAAGAGAGUCCAACUAAAAUUCACAAUGAGCUAUCAGGAAACCUUAAAAAGGCUCAGAGUUUCCAAGUAUCAAAUUAAAAAAAUGAAUUCAACAGGAACACAGGUUCAACUAACCUCCAUUGAGCCAAAGAGUGAGGGGCUUCUUGCCAGGCUCCUUGCUCCUCCCAGCUUUCACAUCCACAUCAACAUACCCAGCAUACUGCUUGAACCCAACAGUUGGCUGAUUAGGCAACCUCACCACCAGAUCCGGUGAAAAGGAUCAAAGGAACCAACCACCAUUGAGACAAACAAUGAGGGGCUUCUUUGUCGGUGUCUGUUUCUGCUUCAACAAAGUUGCAGAAUACUGCUGGGAUAGAAAUUCUGUUUUUACUGUGUAAUCUUGCUGAGAUAGAGGCCUUGGGAUGUAGCAUGCAUAGUGUCACGGCCCGCAUGUUCAAGGCCCAACCCAUUGGAUUGAUUAUGCUAGACCUCUUAGCCCACAUGUCCAGAUUCGUUGUACAGUAGUAGGUAGACUACAGUUGGUAACAGUAGUUGGUAGAUGCCGGUAGGUGACAUUGUAUCUUAGCCACCUACCAUGAUGGUAGGUGGGAUAGAGAAAGUAUAUAAGGAGGAUGACACAAUGUGUAUCCUCACCUCACAACUUGUAAAGCAUUGAGUAGCAAUACAAGCAUAUAUUCCCCCAAACUUUCUUAAGCGUUUUUACUGUGUUCUUGCUCUUGCGAUUGUUCUUUGCUUGGUUCGAUCUUGUAUUGUACGAAGGAGGCUGACUUAGCUUGUUGGAGAGGCGAUCAAGUCUAAGGCCGCACGGAAGGAAGACUCCGAAAAAGUCAUCCUGUGACAGUUGGUAUCAGAGCGAAAGCUCGAAUAAUUCGAAGAAGCAUGUCGAAGAGCGGAUCAGAUGUGGAGACAGACUUGUCCAAGGUCAAUAUGGAUCGUGGGGGCAAAUCAAAGAGGGAACGAUCUAGAGAUGUGGUAGCCAUGAUGGAGAAGCGGCUUUCUAAGAUGAAGAUUGCCAUGGUCGAGUUCGAUCAGCGACUCGAGGAGGACGUUCUUACGAAGACGAGCUUCAAAGCUUUGGUGGAAGAGCUUCAAGGCCAAUUCCAUGGAGCCCUUAACUUCGCGCUAGACAUCAUCAAGCUAGAUGUUCAAACCAAGAUGGAUCACUUCUUAGCGGAGCUUACUUCACUUCGUGAUGAGGUGAAGGAUGUGAAGGGAGAUUGGGCUUUGUGCAAGGAAGCUGUCUUGAACAAGACUCGGACUCCGAAGGAACCCCAGGUGCUAGAUUCUUUCAAGCCCAAAUCCUAUAAUGGGAAGAGGGAGGUGAAGGAGCUGGACACUUUCUUGUGGAAUAUCAAAAGGUAUUUCAAGUAUCUGAAGCUCGAUGAUGAUGAGCCCAAGAUCAAUACGGCAACAUUGUUUCUCGCCGAUAAUGCUCUCAUGUGGUGGCGUCGUCAAUCUAUAGAGAUCGAAUAAGGUACGUUUACAUUUGAGACUUGGGAAGAUUUUAAGAAGGAUAUUAUGUUGCAUUUCUAUCCUGAGAAUGCCAAGUAUGAGGCAAAGGAGAAGCUGAGAUGGCUAAAGCAAACUGGGAGCGUGAAAGACUAUGUCACCACGUUCACCAACCUGUUGUUCGAGGUGCCUAGCAUGACAGAUGAAGACAAGCUCAUGUACUUCAUGAGUGGCCUACAGAAUUAGGCCAAGCUGGAGUUACAAAGGAGACACAUCCAAACCUUGUCAGAGGCAAUUGCUGCAGCUGAGUCUCUUGUUGAGUUCAAGAGGAGUGAUCAAGGCGACUACAAGUUCAAAGGAAAGAAAGGUGGCAAUGGAUCUGGUGGGGAAGAAAACAAGCCAAAAGAGGAUAGCAGGUCAGGAGACAAGUCUGACGGUCACAAGUCAUCCUGGAAAAAGAAUGACAAAGGUGACAAGGGGAAAGACAAGUCGAAGCUAGCUUGUUACUUGUGCGAUGGAGCUCACAUGAUGCGGGAUUGUCCGCAAAAGAAAGCUCUGAAUGCUAUGAACCAAGUGAAGGAAGAUGAGGCCGACAAGGAAGCAAGAAUGGGGGCCAUUCACCGCUUGAAUGCUGUAUAGAACAAAGUCGCUCAACCACAGGUUCAGGCUAAAUGAGUGAUGUUCGUCAACUCGAUGGUGAAUGGCAAUACAACCCGUUGCCUGGUGGAUACAGGUGCCUCGCACAACUUUAUGUCCGUGCAGGAAGCAAAGAGACUUGGGUGUCGAGUCUCGAAGGAAGCAGGCAGUAUGAAGACGGUGAAUUCAACUGCCAAGCCAAUUAAUGGAGUAGCUCAUGGUGUGGAGCUACACAUUGCCACUUGAAAAGAAGUAGCUGACUUCUCUGUGAUCCCGAUGGAUAACUAUGAUGUCGUGCUAGGAAUGGAGUUCAUGGACGAGGUAAAGGCAUUUCCCAUUCCAUUUUACAAUACUAUGUGCAUUGCAUAGGGUGAAGCAAUGUCAUGCAUGGUGUCAGUGGUAAGGCAAUAAGGCGAGUCGAAGCUCUUGUCAGCCAUGCAACUUUUCGAGUCUUAGAAGAAGCGCGAACCGACGUUCCUUGCAACUAUGAAGACGGACACAGUUGAGAAGGAAGUCAAACCAGUCCCUAAAGUGAUGGAGGCAGUCCUUAAGGAGUUUGCAGAUGUCAUGCCCAAGGAGCUGCCCAAAGCCUUAACACCUAGGAGAGAGGUGGAUCAUGCAUUCGAUGAGUUGAAGAGGGCACCUAUGGAGGAACCAACGCUGAGACUACCCGAUCUUAGCAAACCUUUGGAGGUACACAUUGAUGCAUUAUAUUUUGCUAUUGGUGGUGUAUGCAUGCAGGAUGGACACCUAUUGGCUUCCGAGAGUCGGAAGCUCAGUGACACGGAGCAGAGGAUACGAGAGGGCUUGUUGCAUGAUCCCCAAACCAAAAGUCUGUUGGAGCUUAUCAAAGAUGGGAAGACAAGAAGAUUUUGGCUCGAUGAUGGUGUUCUUUAUGCAACAGGGAAGAAGAUCUAUGCUCCAAGGUGGGACAAUCUGAGGCACUAUGUGAGUGUCAACCAACGAGAUUGGGCAAAAUUGUUGGAUGUUGCUUAGUUCUAGUACAACUUGCAGCGGUCGGAGUCGACAGGGUCAAGUUCUUUUGAGUUGGCAAUAGGACAACAACCUGACACCGAACACAGUGGUGUCAGGCUACACAGGGAGUAGUCAUGCUGCAUACAAGACGGCUAAGGAGUGGCAGAUGACUAAUGAGCUGGCUCGGGCUCAAUUAGAGAAGGCAACUCGGAAGAUGAUGAAAUGGGCGGACAAGCAUCGGCGGGACGUUGUGUUCGAACCAGGUGAUCUGGUCUUUGUGAAGCUCAACCCUUCUCAACACAAGUCCAUUAGAAGAUUGCACAAGGCGUUGUUGAGGAGAUAUGAGGCUCCAUUUCCUAUCAUCCGAUCGGUGGGAAGAGCUGCUUACCACGUGGAACUACCACCUCGAUUGAAGAUUCAUCCGGUGUUCCACACGAGCAAUUAUAGAAGGCAACUCGGAAGAUGAUGAAAUGGGCGGACAAGCAUCGGCGGGACGUUGUGUUCCAACCAGGUGAUCUGGUCUUUGUGAAGCUCAACUCUUCUCAACACAAGUCCAUUAGAAGAGUCCAUUAGAAGAUUGCACAAGGCGUUGUUGAGGAUAUAUGAGGCUCCAUUUCCUAUCAUCCGAUCGGUGGGAAGAGCUACUUACCAGGUGGAACUACCACCUCGAUUGAAGAUUCAUCCGGUGUUCCACACGAGCAAUCUCAAGCCCUACUAUGCCGACACCGAGGAGCCAAGUCGUGGAGAGUCUCAACGAGCUCUACCUUUGAUGGUGACUUCAUUUGACAGGGAGGUUGAGUGCAUCAUGGCCAAGCGAGAGGUGCGACGCAAGGGUGUACCGAGGUAUUUUAAGUACUUUGUCAAAUGGAAGGGCCUGCCAGAGUCCGAAGGCAAUUGGGAGAAAGAAGAGUCCUUGUGGAAGUACAAGGAUAUCAUCGAAGCAUUCAAACGAGACGGAUCUACCGCGGCAACGAGGACGUUACCGGAUUAGGUAGGGGAGAAUGUCACAGCCCGCAUGUUCAAAGCCCAACCCAUUGGAUUGAUCAUGCUAGACCUCUUAGCCCACACGUCCAGAUUCGUUGUACAGUAGUAGGUAGACAACGGUUGGUGACAGUAGUUGGUAGAUGCCGGUAGGUGACAUUGUAUCUUAGCCACCUACCAUGAUGGUAGGUGGGAUAGAGAAAAUAUAUAAGGAGGAUGACACAAUGUGUAUCCUUACCUCACAACUUGUAAAGCAUUGAGUAGCAAUACAAGCAUAUAUUC
rnacentral:lncRNA from 1 species